UCUGCCAGCUGUACCACCUGUAGCUCAAACUAGGUCAUCUGUCUGAAGCUAAGCAGGUUUGGGCCAGGCUGGGUCUUAGAUGAGAGACCAGCUGGGAGAGCUGGGCUGCUGCUGGUAGAG
rnacentral:rRNA from 1 species